CCUCAAAUCAGGUAGGACUACCCGCCGAACUUAAGCAUAUCAAUAAGCGGAGGAAAAGAAACUAACAAGGAUUCCCCUAGUAACUGUGAGCGAAGCGGGAAAAGCUCAAAUUUAAAAUCUGGCGGCUUCGCCGUCCGAGUUGUAAUCUGGAGAAGCGUUUUCCGUGUUGGACCGUGUACAAGCCUCUUGGAACAGAGCGUCAUAGAGGGUGAGAAUCCCGUCUUUGACACGGACUACCAAUGCUUUGUGGUACGCUCUCGAAUAGUCGAGUUGUUUGGGAAUGCAGCUCAAAAUGGGUGGUAAAUUCCAUCUAAAGCUAAAUAUUGGCGAGAGACCGAUAGCGAACAAGUACCGUGAGGGAAAGAUGAAAAGCACUUUGGAAAGAGAGUUAAACAGUACGUGAAAUUGUUGAAAGGGAAACGCUUGAAGUCAGUCGCGUUGUCCGGGACUCAGCCUUGCUUCUGCUUGGUGUAUUUCCUGGUUGACGGGCCAACAUCGAUUUUGGACGGCGGAUAAAGGUGAGGGGAAUGUGGCAUCCUCGGAUGUGUUAUAGCCUCUCGUCGGAUGCGUCGUCUGGGAUCGAGGACCGCAGCACGCCUUUUUGGCCGGGGUUCGCCCACGUAAGGUCUGUUGGUUGAUG
rnacentral:rRNA from 1 species